AGCCCUGAGGAAUAGGAGAGGAGAGUGAAAGCAGCAGUUAGCAGUUGUUAUGCAAGACUCUGGAGACCCCCAUCACAUUACUGUCUGCAACUCAAACCCUGUCCAGGCUCUCCCUGCUUGCAAAUUGCCACUGUCUCCUCUUCAGUAUAUCUAAGCCCCUGACUUGGUACCUUCACAGCAACAGUCUGCCUGACCCUCUUUUCCAGUCACGCCUACCCAAACCCACUGAGAACACAGUGCCCAAAGUCACACAGUCAGCAAAGAAUGGCUUCAAAGUCUCUUUGUUUGCUGUUUUGUCACUUGGAUGCACCUCUCUUUCCUGGGCUCCUGGAGACAGGAGACAGCAUUUGAGAGAGAGAUCAGGCCAUUAAGCUGCUGGUUAACAGCACCUGCGGAGCAUUAUGAGUACACUUACAAUGAAAUAUCUCAAGAGGCCAGAGCUUCUGGAGAGUUAAGGGCAGGACAGAAAGUGAAGAUAAGUAGAGGGACAAAAUUGGAUGGCAUCAGAGAGGAAGGGGCAGCAGUGACUGAUCUACCUUGACAAUUCCCAGUUAUGCAAGCCAGUCCCUAGUUGUUCCCCUGCCCUAUCAACAGUGUCUACAAGGAUAGAAUUCUGGACAACCCAGAGCAUCAGAGGCAGCCCUAAAAGGAGAAAAUGUAAACAGCCAUGAAAGUGGUUACACAUGACAGAAGAAUGGAUUUCAGUUCAUUGUACUUUUGAAUUUUACAUCAACCACUUCGUUCUUCCUAUCUGAUGCCUGCGCUUCAGUAUCUACCCACAACUUGGCCUAGCCUAGGUCCUCAGAAAACAAGUCUGCUCCACCAUGUCCCAGAGCAGGUUGGCCAGCCUACAUUCAAGAUUAGUUCCUGUAUAUCUUUUAUCACUGUGUUGACCAAGCAUUUUUACUAAAUCCAAAUAAAAUUUCCCCACCAUUACUCUCACUGUCUUUUACCUGCCUUUCUACAACACUGAAAAAAUGGCUUGAGCUCUCCAAUUCCCCUUCCCUUCCUCUUCUCUAGGCCAAGCAACUCCAUUUCUUCUUUGGGACCUAUUUUCCACAUCAUCCCUCAUACUUUCAUAGUCUUACAAUAUGUUUCACGCAUUAGGAAAACAGGUGAGAGGGCUGGGGUUGUGGCUCAGUGGUAGAGCACUCGCCUCACACAUAUGAAACACUGGGUUCGAUCCUCAGCACCACAUAAAAAUAAAUAAACAAAAUAAAAAGGUAUUGUGUCCAUCUACAACUAAAAAAGAAGAAAAAAAAUUUUUUUAAAGUAGGUGAGAAAUGACUUAGAAGAAAGUCUAAAAGAAAAGGGGUUACAAAUCAAGAUCAUUAUAACAAAAUUUACCCAUAUAAAAAUGAGUUGACAAUUGAAACUAUCAUUUUGAUAUAUCUGGGGUUGACUUUAAUAUGUUGAUUGUGCAGACUUGGUCUGUUUCAUCAAAUUCCUUGUUCUGUUAAAUCCUGCCUUACAUUUUUGAAGGAUUUUAAUUUCUAAGAGUAACCAUUUCCCAUCUCCUUAAUCAGUCUCUAAAACUUCUCUGUUAGUUUGGUCAGGCAAAUAUUUACUUUCCCAUUUUACACAUAAGAAAAAAUAAGACAAAAAGAUUAGCUGCCUCUUCAAAGUAAGUGAUAAUUAUCAAAGCCAGGACAAGAACCCAGAUUCCCUAACUUAAAUUAUAAAUACACCACUGGAGAGGGGAUUAGCUCCAUAAUGGGCAUCUCAUCUUUCCAAGUAUCAAUCUUACUCACAAAAUACCUUGACUCUGCUCCUAAAUGACUAUUCCAUAAGCAUUGGACGUGUUCACGUCAGACACUCACUUUCCUGGCUUUCAAUUAGUUUUUUCCAAAAAGAAUUUCUACCACCUUCCACAAAUUGAAAAUGAAGCCACCCUAGUCAGAGGCACAGAUUGGGGCAGAAUUGGUGAACUCAUGACAUACAACACAGCAAUCUUUAGUCCCUUGUUCAUGGCAGACAUUUCUAAUCAAUCACAGCAACAUUUCCCACUGAACACAGACUUGCUUUCUCCAUUAAAUCUUCUAGUCAACCAUCACUGAUCAACUAGGAUCGGUGCUUGAAACCUGCCAUCCUAGGACUAAAUAAGGAACAGGGGAAAUUUCUUCAAAAAAACUUCUGGUUCCAAUCAGAUGUUACCGCUCGAAAGACUUUUCUUCCAGGUCCUUCUCUUUCUUUAUUGCAAUGCUAUUUUCCCAAUCCUCCUGCAAGCAUUGGUUCAUUUUGUUCACUCUCUCCAGCUCUGCAGUUCUGUCUGCCAAGUACCUGGAGAGAAAAGAGCAUUCUGACUCCAUUCUUAAUAUUUGAAAGAACAUGCAUUAACCUUAGGAACCCCAUUCCUUUCAUGUAAAAUUAAACAGAAAACUUUCUGGUUUUGUUCACUGUUCUUUGAACUAUAUACUAAAAGGCAUGGACACUGUAAAAGCAUAGUGAAACUUCUGGCUGUCAAAUAUUAUGAGUCUAGGACCUUUCAUCUUCAACAGUAAUUUAAAUUAGCAGGGUUGAAACCUUUUUUCCAAUUAACAACUUUGGCCUUUAAAGUCAUUAAUUUCCUUUGAAGCUAAUUUAACUCAUCUGAAGAAUCAUUCCAAAUGGAUUUCUUAUACUUUGUUUCUUUGCUUUUAUUCCAACUUCUCAGCUGUCAGUAAUCAGCCUACUGGUUGCUACAGGCAUUCUGCAAGCAAAGGCAUACAAAUCAAGGUCUAGAAAGGGAUUAAAGGAACACAAGGGACUACAGCAAGACUAAAGGAAAUCUAGAAAAUAUCUAAUGCUAUGCUGUGAAGAAGUCAGGGGAAGGAAAAGAAAUGUUUUGUGAACCAUGGUUAAAGCAGUGACUGCCCUGAAAUCUCUCUUAAAGUCUCACUAAUCCCGUUUCCACCACUAGUCUCCAAAUACACUGACACUACUGUUGUGAGCCUGGUUCAAACUAUUUAUGUGUGUCUAUUUCUUGCCAAAAGGAAACUUUUACUGUCAGUUUUCAUUGAAGUCUAGAAGAAGCAUCACUGAAUGUGACUGCUGACCGCCUAUACUGAAGAGACUUGUGCUGUGGUGGCUACAGCCACUAGGUGUCAGAAUCCUCCACUGAAAAUCAGCACUGUCCCCUGGUUCACUUUUUCCUAGAACAGCAGAGCCACCCUUUUAUCUAACCAGCAUUAACUGCACAGCUAUUAUGUGGCAAAAGAUCAAAUGACAAAAAUAUAAAGUGCUAAUUCCCAUUAAUAGUGGGCGUUCACUGAAUGAAUGGAACCUUCUUUUUCUUUUCAUAGUUCUUUUUAAUUAUGGUUUUAAAAAAAUCACCAUCUUAACCAGUUCUAAGUGUUGGUAAGGAUGGAGAGGUGAUAAAUAUAUCCAAACUGUUGUGCAACCAAGCUGCAGAAUUCUUUUCAUCCUGCAAAACUGAAACUCUAUACCAUUCAAUUCAUUUGUCAUUCCUCUAGUCCCCAUCGACUACCGUAAUUCUACACUCUGUUUCUAAGAAACAACUAUUCUAAAUACCUCCUAUAAAUGGAAUAAUACAUAUUUGUCCUUUUGUGACAGCUUAUUUUACUUAGUGUAAUGUUCUCAAAAUUUAUGCACACAGUAACAUUUGUCAGAAUUUCCCCCUUUCAGAUUUGUAUUCAAAAGAACUGAAAGCAGAAUCUUAAAGAGAUAUUUGCAUACCCAUAUUGAUAGCAACACUAUUCACAACAGCCCCCAAGAAGUAAAUGUCACAGAGGAAAAAGAAAAAUAUGAUAUGUACAUAAAGUGGAAUAUCUGCCAUCAAAAAAUAAUGAAAUCCAGUCAUUUGUGGCUGUUGCCACAGGAUGGAAUUAGAGGACAUUGCAUAGAAGAGACUGGAGUAGAGGUCAUUAGAGCCUAAGAAGGGUAGGGAGGAAGGGGUGACAAAGAGAAGUUAUAAAAAUGUACAAAUAUAUAAAAAGGAAAAAUAGUUCUGCUGUUCUACAGCACAGCAAGGUUACUAUAGUAUACAACAAUUUAUGGUACGUUUCAAAAUAACUUUAAAAGUCUUCCAAUUAAUACAAAUGAUAAAUAUUUGAGGAGACAGAAACACUAAUUAUCCUGAUUUGAUCAUUACACAUUCUAUACACGUAUUGAAAUACUGUACUAUAUCCCAUAAAUAUGUACAAUUUAUGUGUCAAUUAAAAAUUUUUAAUUAUAUCUCAAUAAAGUUUUUGAAAAAAAUAAGAAAAAUUCAUCAGGAAAACUAUGCCUUCCCCUUAGGCAUGUUUGUGCUUUCACUAAUCUUCUUAGGCUGCAACCAUUUCUCCUCCCCACCAUCAAAAUGCCUGCAGAGCCUUUUAUGAUUACUAUAUUACUUACAAUCCUUUAAUCUGUAAGCAAUGUAACUUAUGAUUUCAAAACCAUAAAAUCUGUUGAAAAUAAAAUAGCAUGCCCAAGGGAAAACUAGAGUAAAAGGGAAUAUUUAAUGCAGAAUUGUUAUAACAACAAAAUACUAGGAAACCAAAAGUGCAAAAGUUAAAUUAUAUUAUUUUUAGUACAUCCAUUGGAGAAAUGCAAAUUAAAGCAUGAGAUACCACUAUACACCUAUUAGAACGGCUGAAAUUAAAAAGAUUGAUCAUACCAAGUGUUGGCAAGGAUGGAGAGGAACUGUCAUACACUAUUGGAUGAGAUUAGAAAAUAGUACAACUAAAUUGAAAAGCACUUUGAAUUUCUUUAAAAGUUAAAUAUGUAUCUGUGAUAUAUCAGCCAUGUCAUGCCAUGCCUAGGCAUUUACCCAAGAUAGAAGGCACUAUAUGUCCAUACAAAGACUUACACUCAAAUGUUUAGAGUAGUUUUAUUCACAAUCACCAAAAACUAUAAAUAACCCAAUGUCCAUCAACAGACGAAUAAACAAACAAAGUAUGUUAUGUAUGUGCAAUGGAAUACUCCCCAGUAAAAAAAAAAAGAACUGAGAUAUUGUUAUAUGCAAAAGCAUGGGUGAAUUUCAAAAUAUUGACUCACAAUGACUCACAAUGUAUACUGCAUGGUUCCAUUUGUAUGAAACCCUAGGAAAUGCAAACUAACCCAUAGUAACAGAAGGUAGAUUAGGGGUUGCUUGAAGAUAGGGUUGUGGGAGGGAUGAGGGAGGAAUUAUAAAGGACACAAAGAAACUUUCUGGGAUGAUGAAUAUGUACAUUAUCUUGACUGUAGUGAUCCUUUCAUGGGUGGGUGCAUACUAUAUCAAAACUUAUCAAGUUGUACACUUUAAGCACAUACAGUUUAUUGUACAUCAAUAAAGUUGUUUUU